CAUGUGAAAGCCGGGCGAUCUGUGACAAGAGGGCCUGCACUUCUUUGAUUAUUGUAAUAUAUGAAAAUGGCAACAUUAUGUAUCUCAUAAUGGAAUCCUAUGCUUGUUGAUAAGAAUCCUGCCAGAGCUCUCAUGGUAUAAUCGUCUGGCGCCUCAAAAGGAUACCAUGGAAGAAAAACAACGAAAAAUACAAGAAUAAAUUGUUGAAUCUGAGUCGGUUUUCUUCAAAUUUCAAGUCUGAGAAGAAGGAAGGGGCGCUUUGGUUAAGAUGGCAGGAGAUAUAUCGAUAUUUUGGGUUGAGAAUGACCCUGAUUUGGUCAAGAUAGUAAAGGGCAUUCACAAAUCUACAUAUAAGGGCUGGAUUGAGGAGAAUGUCAUUGGAUCGUGCAAAAAGGAGUUGGGAAGAUCUAUUGGGUAUAGGAGUAUUCAUUUUUUGAAAUUUUGAGGGGUAUUUUUGGGAAAAAAUGACAUCCACGAUGAUUAAUGAAUACGAGAUGAAUUUCCUUUUGCAAUGGGGAUUCUUGGCAUUUCUUGAUUCAGAGGAGAUGGAAUUAGGAAAUUCAUUUCCUUCUACCAUCAUGAAUGCCAUCUACUCUGCUUCAGUUCACAUCGCCAUUAGAAAUCUCUUUUCUUCAAUCAUUAUAAAUGUCAUUUUUUCUGCAGAUCGCCAUCUUCUCAAAAUUAUUGCUUAUGCUUCAGUUCACAUCACCAUCUUCUUAAAAAAUCUCUGUAAGCUCAAUUUGUAAUAUUCUAAAAAUACCAUGUAAUUUUGGUUCAGUUGAAAUCACUAUCUUCUCUUCUCAAAAAGAUAUCUUAUGCCAUGCUUAAAUGUAAUAGCCAUCUUUUCAAAUAUAACAUCUAGCUGCUUUAAUUCUGCAUUUA